GAUGAAGAACGCAGCGAAAUGCGAUAAGUAAUGUGAAUUGCAGAAUUCAGUGAAUCAUCGGAUCUUUGAACGCAUCUUGCGCUCCUUGGUAUUCUGAGGAGCAUGCCUGUUUGAGUGUCAUUAAAUUCUCAACUACACUGACUUUGAAUUGGUGUGGCUUGGAUUUGGGGGGAAAAUUGUUGUGGGCUUUUUGUAUAGUCUGCUCCCCUGAAAUUGAUUAGCGGUACCUUUGUGGAACUGUCUACAGGUGUGAUAAUUAUCUACAUCUUAGACAUCUGCUGGAAUGCUGCUUUCUAAACCUUACUUGUAUUGACAAUCUUGACCUCAAAUCAGGUAGGACUACCCGCUGAACUUAAGCAUAUCAAUAAGCGGAGGA
rnacentral:misc_RNA from 1 species